rnacentral:misc_RNA from 1 species
AGGAUAACAUAGGCUACUCCUGCCCCCGCCGCGGUAUCGGAGGAGCAAGGUUUCCGGAUGUUGGGGAAAGCGCCGCAGGGGUCAACACUCUAUUUCAAAGCCGGGGUCCCCCCUGAAAGCGGUGGAACUGUAAACUAGAGGUCGUGGGGUAGAGGGAUUCCCACUUAGCGAUGAAGACGUAGAGAGGGGAAGAACAUCGGUGGGAAGCGCUCUCUGGACGGCAAUUACACUCAGGGACGAAAGCUGGGGGGCGAAUGGGAUUAGAUACCCCAGUAGUCCUAGCCGUAAACGAUGGAUCUAGGUGUGGCUUGUAGCAAAACGAGCCGCGCCGUAGCUAACGCGUUAAGUAUCCCGCCUGGGGAGUACGCUCGCAAGAGUAAACUCAAAGGAAUUGACGGGGGCCCGCACAAGCGGUGGAGUAUGUGGUUUAAUUCGAUGCAACGCGAAGAACCUUACCAGGACUUGACAUGUCGCGAAUCUUCUUGAAAGAGAGGAGUGCCUUCGGGAGCGGGAACACAGGUGGUGCAUGGCUGUCGUCAGCUCGUUUCGUGAGAUGUUGGGUUAAGUCCCGCAACGAGCGCAACCCUCAUUUUUAGUUUCCAAUAUUAAGUUAGGCACUCUAGACAGACUGCCGGUGACAAACCGGAGGAAGGUGGGGAUGGCGUCAAGUCAGCAUGCCCCUUACGUCCUGGGCUACACACGUACUACAAUGGUAGGGACAAAGGGAAGCGAAGCUGCGAAGUGAAGCAAAUCCCAUCAAACCCUGCCUCAGUUCAGAUCGCAGGCUGCAACUCGCCUGCGUGAAGGAGGAAUCGCUAGUAAUCGCAGGUCAGCAUACUGCGGUGAA